rnacentral:misc_RNA from 1 species
CCUUUCAAUGCAGAAGAGUUGUGAUGGUUGAGUAUCUCGCCUCUCAAUUCUCGCUGUAUUUUACCCUUGUUUUUCUCAUACUAUUAUUUCCUCGGCAGGCUCAGCCUGCCGGGUGAAACAACUUCAAACCUGUUUAAUUUUCAAUCAGCGUCUGAGCAAAUUAAUAAUUA